ACGGAAGGCAGCAGUGGGGAAUAUUGCACAAUGGGGGAAACCCUGAUGCAGCGACGCCGCGUGAAGGAAGAAGUAUCUCGGUAUGUAAACUUCUAUCAGCAGGGAAGAUAGUGACGGUACCUGACUAAGAAGCCCCGGCUAACUACGUGCCAGCAGCCGCGGUAAUACGUAGGGGGCAAGCGUUAUCCGGAUUUACUGGGUGUAAAGGGGGCGUAGACGGUGUGGCAAGUUUGAUGUGAAAGGCAUGGGCUCAACCUGUGGACUGCAUUGGAAACUGUCAUACUUGAGUGCCGGAGGGGUAAGCGGAAUUCCUAGUGUAGCGGUGAAAUGCGUAGAUAUUAGGAGGAACACCAGUGGCGAAGGCGGCUUACUGGACGGAAACUGACGUUGAGGCUCGAAAGCGUGGGGAGCAAACAGGAUUAGAUACCCUGGUA
rnacentral:rRNA from 1 species